rnacentral:rRNA from 1 species
ACAUCUCUUCGGAGCUAUUUACGAGGUGCUGCAUGGUUGUCGUCAGCUCGUGCCGUGAGGUGUCGGGUUAAGUCCCAUAACGAGCGCAACCCCUACCUUUAGUUGCCAUCAGGUUAAGCUGGGGACUCUAAAGGAACUGCCUACGCAAGUAGUGAGGAAGCGGGGAUGACGUCAAAUCAGCACGGCCCUUAUGUCCAGGGCUACACACGUGUUACAAUGGCCGAUACAACGGGCAGCCACCUGGUGACAGGGAGCUAAUCCUAAAAGUCGGUCUCAGUUCGGAUCGAAGUCUGCAACCCGACUUCGUGAAGCUGGAUUCGCUAGUAAUCGCAGAUCAGCCAUGCUGCGGUGAAUACGUUCCCGGGCCUU